rnacentral:rRNA from 1 species
AGGGCACCACCAGGAGUGGAGCCUGCGGCUUAAUUUGACUCAACACGGGAAAUCUCACCAGGCCCGGACACUGGAAGGAUUGACAGAUUGAGAGCUCUUUCUCGAUUCGGUGGGUGGUGGUGCAUGGCCGUUCUUAGUUGGUGGAGUGAUUUGUCUGGUUAAUUCCGAUAACGAACGAGACUCUGUCCUGCUAAAUAGUUCCAGCGUCCUUAGUGCGCUGGAAAUUCUUCUUAGAGGGACUGGCGGCGUCUAGCCGCACGAGAUUGAGCAAUAACGGGUCUGUGAUGCCCUUAGAUGUUCUGGGCCGCACGCGCGCUACACUGAAGGGAUCAGCGUGUCUUCCCUCUCCGAGAGGAGCGGGUAACCCGCUGAACCCCCUUCGUGGUAGGGAUUGGGGCUUGCAAUUAUUCCCCAUGAACCAGGAAUUCCCAGUAAGCGCAAGUCAUAAGCUUGCGUUGAUUACGUCCCUGCCCUUUGUACACACCGCCCGUCGCUACUACCGAUUGAACGUUUUAGUGA